AACGAACGCUGGCGGCAUGCCUAACACAUGCAAGUCGAGCGCCCGUAGCAAUACGGGAGCGGCGCACGGGUGAGUAACGCGUGGGAACCUGCCCAGAGGUCUGGGGACAACCGCGGGAAACUGCGGCUGAUACCGGAUGAUUCCUGAGGGACAAAGAUUUAUCGCCUUUGGAGGGGCCCGCGUCGGAUUAGGUAGUUGGUGGGGUAACGGCUCACCAAGCCUAUGAUCCGUAACUGGUCUGAGAGGAUGACCAGUCACACUGGGACUGAGACACGGCCCAGACUCCUACGGGAGGCAGCAGUGGGGAGUAUUGGACAAUGGGGGGCAACCCUGAUCCAGCAAUGCCGCGUGGGUGAUGAAGGCCUUCGGGUUGUAAGCCCUUUCGGCGGGGACGAUGAUGACGGUACCCGCAGAAGAAGCCCCGGCUAACUUCGUGCCAGCAGCCGCGGUAAU
rnacentral:rRNA from 1 species